rnacentral:rRNA from 1 species
GCGGCGUACGGGUGCGGAACACGUGUGCAACCUGCCUUUAUCUGGGGGAUAGCCUUUCGAAAGGAAGAUUAAUACCCCAUAAUAUGUUGGAUGGCAUCAUUCGACAUUGRAAACUCCGGUGGAUAGAGAUGGGCACGCGCAAGAUUAGAUAGUUGGUGAGGUAACGGCUCACCAAGUCUGCGAUCUUUAGGGGGCCUGAGAGGGUGAUCCCCCACACUGGUACUGAGACACGGACCAGACUCCUACGGGAGGCAGCAGUGAGGAAUAUUGGACAAUGGGUGAGAGCCUGAUCCAGCCAUCCCGCGUGAAGGACGACGGCCCUAUGGGUUGUAAACUUCUUUUGUAUAGGGAUAAACCUACUCUCGUGAGAGUAGCUGAAGGUACUAUACGAAUAAGCACCGGCUAACUCCGUGCCAGCAGCCGCGGUAAUACGGAGGGUGCAAGCGUUAUCCGGAUUUAUUGGGUUUAAAGGGUCCGUAGGCGGAUCUGUAAGUCAGUGGUGAAAUCUCACAGCUUAACUGUGAAACUGCCAUUGAUACUGCAGGUCUUGAGUGUUGUUGAAGUAGCUGGAAUAAGUAGUGUAGCGGUGAAAUGCAUAGAUAUUACUUAGAACACCAAUUGCGAAGGCAGGUUACUAAGCAACAACUGACGCUGAUGGACGAAAGCGUGGGGAGCGAACAGGAUUAGAUACCCUGGUAGUCCACGCCGUAAACGAUGCUAACUCGUUUUUGGGCUUUCGGGUUCAGAGACUAAGCGAAAGUGAUAAGUUAGCCACCUGGGGAGUACGAACGCAAGUUUGAAACUCAAAGGAAUUGACGGGGGCCCGCACAAGCGGUGGAUUAUGUGGUUUAAUUCGAUGAUACGCGAGGAACCUUACCAAGGCUUAAAUGGGAAAUGACAGGUUUAGAAAUAGACUUUUCUUCGGACAUUUUUCAAGGUGCUGCAUGGUUGUCGUCAGCUCGUGCCGUGAGGUGUUAGGUUAAGUCCUGCAACGAGCGCAACCCCUGUCACUAGUUGCCAUCAUUAAGUUGGGGACUCUAGUGAGACUGCCUACGCAAGUAGAGAGGAAGGUGGGGAUGACGUCAAAUCAUCACGGCCCUUACGCCUUGGGCCACACACGUAAUACAAUGGCCGGUACAGAGGGCAGCUACACAGCGAUGUGAUGCAAAUCUCGAAAGCCGGUCUCAGUUCGGAUUGGAGUCUGCAACUCGACUCUAUGAAGCUGGAAUCGCUAGUAAUCGCGCNUCAGCCAUGGCGCGGUGAAUACGUUCCCGGGCCUUGUACACACCGCCC